GAUUAACGCUAGCGGCAGGCAUAAUACAUGCAAGUUGAACGAGAUAAGUUUUAGCAAUAGAACUUUGAAAGUGGCGCACGGGUGCGUAACACGUAUGCAACCUACCUUUUACUGGGGAAUAGCCUCUCGAAAGAGAGAUUAAUACCCCAUAAUAUAUUGAUAAGGCAUCUUAUUAAUAUUAAAGUUACGGCGGUAAAAGAUGGGCAUGCGGCUGAUUAGGUAGUUGGUGAGGUAAUGGCUCACCAAGCCGACGAUCAGUAGGGGGUCUGAGAAGAUGUCGCCCCACACUGGUACUGAGACACGGACCAGACUCCUACGGGAGGCAGCAGUAGGGAAUAUUGGACAAUGGGCGCAAGCCUGAUCCAGCCAUGCCGCGUGCAGGAUGAAGGCCCUAUGGGUCGUAAACUGCUUUUGUGCGGGAAGAAACCUCACUACGUGUAGUGAGUUGACGGUACCGUGAGAAUAAGGAUCGGCUAACUUCGUGCCAGCCGCCGCGGUAA
rnacentral:rRNA from 1 species